AAGCAUCAAAAGAAAAUGGGUAGACAAUUAUUUUCUCCACAAAUUAAAAGAGAAACAACACAAAUCCUUACUUCCAAAUUUCACAUAAAGAAAAUAGAAGAGGCAGCAUGACACUGUAGGUGGGUGGCCUUGAAGACAAGACCAUCUGGAUACACAUCUUGCCUUGACACAAACUGGCUGAGUGAUCCUGAGCAAGUCACUAAACCUUAGCACUCUAGGAAGCUCUGCAAGAGCGUAAUUUGAAAAGAAAGUUGCAGCAGAUCUUCAUUAGUAAAGGGAAUUUCUUCACUAAAAGUUUCCUAUGCCAAUAAAAUCAGAGAUAAGGAUAAAAACAAUCCUCCACACUCACAAAACAAUAAGCAUAAUAACAUAAAUUAAGAAGCUUUUCAACAAUAUGCUACAAGAAUAUUUACCUAUUUUCCCCAUAAAAAAGGAAUUCUUCAGUUGUGCCCACCUUCACAAAAUGUCACAAAGAUGACAUUAUUUUUCUGGUAUUCCUCAAGUUCAACAACCACCAUUUCAAAGGAAGGCUGGGACUGGGGGUACAGCGUAUAAUUAUUAAAAACUAGAGUUUUUUCCGGUUGUGUCUUUAUAUACUCCCAACUUUAGCCUGAGUGAUACCUCCUACUAAGUAAUUGAGCUCCCCACCCUGAACUAAUGGUUUUAAAGAUUAGUAAGUUAAUUUGUAAACUUCAAAUCCUGAAAGAAUGAAGUACAACAUUGUGCCACAUUGUAAAAAUUAAUUUAAAUACUAUAAUUUUGACUUUCUAGGAAUAAAUAACUAGCAUAUGGAUUUUUUUUUUUUGGUACAAUUUUAGGCUAACUGCUGAGGCUCAACUCACUUGGAAAAUGUUACAGUGAUUAUUGUUUUCAGCAAAGAAGAAAGACUUGACAUAUUGGGGUUGGAACACCCAAAGCUGUAGGCAACAAUCCAUUUUUUUGUUUUUUUUUCUUCUUUUAAAUGUAUUUAUUUAAGAUGUAAAUACAAAAUAGAAAAAAAAGACAGAAAAAAGAAAAAAAAUUGUCAUGUGCACAGCAAAACAUGAGAGGAUUUAAAAUAAGUAACAAUAAAUUUCCAUUUCAAGAAAGCAUUCAUAAUAGAAAACAUUUUUCUUUUGCUUUCUUGUAGGUUUUCUUUUGCCCUCUGUUGUGCAUUUUUUACUUUAUUCUUUUUUUCCUUCCUCUACAUUUCUUCUAAGCAGACUAUAGUUAAGCAUGGAUAUAUUUAUGUGUGUAUGUAUGUAUCAUACACACAUAUGUUUACAUACACAUACAUAUACACACAUCUAAAGCAAUAUAAAUAUGGCUGAAAUAUAAUGUAUAUUUCUCUCUUUCAAUUGAAUUUUUUUAAACUUUGACUUUGAAAUCAAUGAUUACUACCUUAGUUUUUUUUUUUCCCCUACAAAUUCUAGUCCUGAUUACUGUAAUGGUGUUUGUAUAUAUCUAGUUUCUUAUAAUUGCUAACUCUCCCUUAUUUCUAAUUUGGUAGCUUGCCUUGCUAUUUUUUUUAUUAAAACUUUUUGUUUACAAAGCAUAUACAUGGGUAAUUUUUACAACAUUGACCCUUGCAUAACCUUUUGUUCCAAAUUUUUCCCUCCUUUCCCCCACCCCCUCUCCUAGCUGGCAAGUAGUCCCAUACAUAUUAAAUAGGUUGAAACACAUGUUAGGUCCAAUAUAUGUAUAUAUACUUAUACAGUUAUCUAGUUGCACAAGAAAAAUCAGAUCAAGAAAAAUCUAAUCAAUUAAGUAAAGGUUUAUUUUUUUCAUAAAACCAAGUCUUACUUUUAUUUAUUAAUUCAAUAAUUUUUUUUUAGUUUCAAUUUUAUUGAUCUUUUAUUUUUAGAAUUUGGAAAUUUUAGAAUUUUAGAAUUUUUAGAAUUUGGUAUUUGAUUGGGGUUUUAAAAAAUUUUUUCCCUAGCUUUUUUAGUUGCAAGCCCAAUUUAUUGAUCUUCUCUUUCUUGUCUCAUUAUUGUCAUUCUUUUGGAUGAAAUUAUUGAUUGAUUCAGAUUUGCCAUUUCACCCAUUCAUUCUUUAGGAUAAGAUUAUUUAGUUUCCAGUUUCUUUUUGUCUAUUUUCCUCUGGCCCUUUAGUGAAUGAAAUUUUUAUUGCAUCAUGAUCUGAAGAAAAAUGCAUUUAUGAUUUUUGCCUUUCUGCCUUUGAUUUUGAGGUCUUUAUGAUCUAAUAUAUGGUCAAUUUGUGUAUAGGUUCCAUGAAUUGCCAAGAAAAAAAUUUUAUUUUUACUCCUUUCUGUCUCCAUUUAAUUUUCUCCCAAGAUCUAUCAUAUCUAGUUUUUCUAGUAUUUUAUUUUUACCCCUUUUAACUUCUUAUUUAUUUUGUGGUUUGAUUUAUCUAGUUCUCAGAGAGCAAGAUUGAGAUCUCCCAUAUUAUAGUUUUGCUGUCUAUUUCUUCUUCCAACUCUGUUAAGCUCUCCUUUAGGAAUUUAGAUGCUACACCACUUUGUGCAUAUGUUUAAUAUGGAUAUUAUUUCAUUAUCUAUGGUACACUUUAGCAUGAUACAGCUUCCUUCCUUAUCUCUUUUAAUUAGAUCAAUUUUUGCUUUUGCUUGAUCUGAGACAAGGAUGGAUACUCCUGCUUUUUUUUUAUUUCACCUGAAGCAUAACAGAUUCUGUUCCAGCCUUUUACCUUUAUUCUGUAUGUGUUGUUCUGCUUUAAAUGUUUUUUUUAUAAACAACAUAUUGUAGGAUUCUGGCUUUUAAUUCAGUCUGCUAUCCGCUUCUGAUUUAGGCAAGAGUGUACCCCAUUCACAUUUACAGUUAAGAAUACUAAUUCUGUAUUUCCUGCCAUCUUAUUAACCCCAAAUUAUACUUUUCUUUUUCCUUUUCCUCCUCCCCAGUAUUUUACUUAUGAGCAUUACUUGCCUCCCCUUUUCCUUUCUAUGUAGUCUACCCCUUCCCGUUUCUCCUUUUCCCCUCCCACUUUUCUAUAAGGGAGAGAAGUUUUUCAGUGAAACCAAAUAUUCUAAUAUUCUUUGGGCCAAAUCUGAUGAGAGUGAGAUUCACACAAUAUUCGUCACUUUCCUUUCUUUCCCUCAAUUAUGAUAUGUUUUCUUUGCCUCUUCCUGAGAUGUAAUUUCCCUCAUUUUACCUCUACUUUCCCCCUUUUCUGUUGCAAUCCUCUUUCCACUCUCUAGUUUCUUUUUUAUAUUAUAACAGUAAAAUCAGAUUAUACAUGUACUCUCAAUGUAUACCCAUAAUAGAAAUGCAGUUCUCAAGAGCUUUUUUUUUUUUCUUUUUUACCUUUUUAUGCUUCUCUUGAGUUCUAUAUUUGGAGGUUAAAUUUUUUGUUUAGCUCUGGUCUUUUCAUCAAAAAUAAACAGAAUUCACCAGUUUCAUUGAAUGUCCAUCUUCUUCCCUGAAAGAAAAUGCUCAGUUUAGCAGGGUAAUUUAUUCUUGGGUGCAUUCGAAGUUCCUUUGCCUUUCGGAAUAUCAGAUUCCAGGCCCUUCGAUCCUUUAAAGUAGAAGCUGCUAGGUCCUGAGUAAUCCUUAUUGUGGCUCCUCAGUAUUUGAAUCAUUUCUUUCUGGCUGCUUGUAAUAUUUUUUUCCUUGGUCCAAUAGUUUUCCAAUUUAGCCACAAUAUUCCUUGGGGUUUUAAUUUUGGGGUCUCUUUCAGGAGGCAUUCAGUAAAUUCUUUCAAUGGUCAUUUAACCUUGUUUCUAUGAUCUCCAGGCAGUUCUCUUUGAUGAUUUCCUGAAAGAUAGUGUCUAAGCUCUUUUUUUCAUCAUGUAUUUCAGGGAGUCCAAUAAUCCUUAGAUUGUCUCUUCUAAAUCUGCUUUCCAGAUCGAUUAUUUUCCCAAUUAGGUAUUUUACAUUUUUUUCUAUUUUUCUUUUUUUUUUUUUUUUUGGUUUUGCUUGACUGAUUCUUGUUUCAUUGAGUCAUUCAUUUCCAUUUGUUCAAUUCUGAAUUUUAGUGAAUUAUUUUCAUUUACUUUUUUUAUUUCUUUUUGCAUUUGUCCAAUUGAAUUUUUAAAUGAGCUGUUUUGUUCUAUGGAAUCUUUUUCCAUUUCACAAAUUCUGGUUUUUAGAGGAAUUAUUUUCUUUUUCCAUUUUACAAAUUCUGUUUUUCUGGGAGUUGCUUCCUUUUUAGAUUUUAUCAAAUCUAUCUUUUAAUGAAAUACAUGCUUUUUUCCUUUUCACUAAGUCUAUUUUGUAGUGAAUUUUCUUCAGAUAGUUUCUGUUGCCUUUUGUAAACUCUCUUGCAAAUUUUUCCUUUCCUUUCCCCAUUUUUCUUCUCUCUUUUAAGAUCCUUUUAAAUUUCUUCUAGGAGAGACUUGUGUAAUGGGGACUGGUUUAUAAUGCCUUUUGGGGCUUUAUUUGGAGACAAUCUGCCUUAGUCUCCUCAGGGUUUGAAAUCUGUUCUUCUCUUUCACCAUAAAAACUGUCUAUCAUCAGAGUCCUCUUUAUUUUUUUACUCAUUAAAAAAAAAAAUUAAGGUCUGCUUUUAGGGUGAGAGAGGUUUUCAAGCAGUGCUGGGUCAGUACUGAUUCACUUCCGGUACUGAGUAGAUGUGGCCUGGUCCCAUGAGAUUCUGGCAUUUUGGGGUUUACCACUGAUCUUCUGUGUUUGUGUUGGAUGUUUUCUAACUUCUCUGCUGAUCUACCGGCUUACAAUCAGGGCAGAGUGGUCAACCGUACUGUAGAUUCCUCCUUAUAGAUGCUCUGCCACAUGGAGUCCGCACCAUCAGCAGAGUCUGUACUACCCCAUUGACUCUGCAAUGUCAUUUGUAUUCAGCAGCUUGUGCUUUCCUGCCUCCCUUCCAUUUCUGUUCGAAACAGAUCUUUUCUGGGAAUAUUUGAAAUUAUUUUCUGCUGAUAAUUUGUUGCACUCCUAAUAUUUGUGGAUUUUGCUGGUCCAGAGCUAAUUCAGUGGCUGGAUUUCAUAAUUAGUGUGAGGGUUGUAGAAAAGGAUCAGAGAGAAAUGUGUGGCCUCUCAGGCCAUCUUAGCUCCACCCCCCAAUAAUCCAUUUUCUUAAAAUAUUUUUAAAGUAUAUAUUGAAAAGAGAGACUGUAUGGCAUAGUAAACAGAAUGAUAAGUCAUAAUAACUUGAAUUCAAAUCUUGUGUUAUAGAUUCUAAUUGUCUGAGCAAGGACAAGUCUUUUUAAAAAUUAUACUAAAUUCUACAUACUUCUAGGUACUUUCCUACAUUGGUCAUUCUACUUUUGUUGUUUUCAGUUUAAAUUGUUUUGUUGCUACUCUUUUCGUUUAUAUUGUUAUAGUCUUUAUUAUUUUCUUGCUUCUUCUGCUUUUACUUUGCAUCAGUUCAUAUAUCUUUGUAGUAGUCAUCAUGCUUAAUCUUUCUUGUAACAUAAUGCUAUUCCAUUGCCCUAAUGUACCACAAUUUUUAUUUUACAGCUAUUCUCCAAUCAAUAAACUUUAUUUCCAUGUCUUUACCACAUAUUACUGCUGUGAUAUUUUAAUGUAAAUAAGGCCAUUCUUUUUGAUUCUGACCUCCUUGGGGACUAUGCCUACUAAGGAAAUCUCUGGAACAAAAAAAAAAUUGGACAUUUUAGUCACUUUCUUGAUAUUAUUCCCAAUUGUUUUCCAGAAUGGUUAGACCAAUUCACAAUUUUACCAACAAUGCACAGCCAUCUUUCUACAAGCUCUUCUACACAAAUUUUUGUUAUUCUUGACAAUUUAAGAUGAAAUUUCAUUGUUUUGAUUUGUACUUCUCUUCUUAGCGAUUUGGAGCAUUUUUUCAUAUGUUUAUGAAUAGUUCACAAUUCUUUUUUUUUUAGAAAUGUUUGUUGAUAUCUGUUGACCACAUGUUUUGGGGCUUAUUUAUUUCUAUUAGUUGUCUAUAUGGCUUCAUGACAAUGGCCUUUUUUCACUCCUCAGGCUGAAAUUUUGUGAACAGUUUUCUUUCUCUUGUUUCUCUUCUGGCCUAUCACAAUAUCUCUUACAUUCAUCUCUCCUCUCCAUCUACACAGUCAUCACCCUAAUUCAGUACCUCAUCACUUCUUGACUCAGCUCUUGGUCUUUGCUGUGGCUUGCUUGUCUAAUAGUUGAGGAGGUAGAAAGGGCAAGAUGUAACAAUAGAUUGGCAUGUGAGAUAAGAGGUGGUGAUAAGUAGUAACACCAAUAUUACAAACCUGGAUAGGGGUGCCUUUGACAAAACUAAAAACAUUUAGAAGAGAAGAGGUUUAGGAAUAAAAAUCAGGAUUCUAGUUUGAGAUAUGUUGAUUUUGAAAUGUCUCCAAGGCAUUCAGUUUAAAAUUUUCAGUAAACAAUUGUUAAUAAGACUCAAGUGCACAUGCACGAGAGACAGACAGACAGACAGAGACACACAGAGAGAGAGACAGAGAGAAAGGGGAGACAGCAAGGGAGAGGAAGGGAAAGAGAAAAAGAGACAGAGGCAGACAGAGAGAUAGAGACAGAGCCAGAGAAAGAGACUCAGAGAGAGACAGACACACAGACAGAAAAAGA